CAAAACAACUUCUUAUAUCAGGGACACACACACGCACACGCACAUGCACACACGCGCACGCACACACACACACACACACACACACACACGCCCUUCUUCCCAGGGAAAGCAGCCUUAGGAGCUGCUCACAGGUGGAGGCCUUCCAUUUCACUCCCGCCGACCCCUGGACCAGAAGAGUCUGAGUCACAGCAUCUAUGCACAGAGCAGACACCAUUUAUCCCCAAGUGAUGGCAGGGGAGAAGCAAGACAGCAAGUCCAGUGGCCCCCAGGGGUCCUCAGAGCCUUCUUGGUGUUCUCCCCAUAAAGUUUCUCUGGCACCGAUUUCUACAGAGGGAGCCAGAAGCUGUGCCAGUUCAGCACCUUGCAUGCACUGAGCCUGGCACCGGGUGCAGGAAACUGCCCCCUGCCCUGGAAGAGCCUGGGUCCGCUGAGGAAGAAAUGGCCACCUGCUCUACAACAAGGAAAAGUAAAAGGACUUGGGCUCAGGUCAUGAUCUCAUGGUUCCUGAGUUUGGAGCCCCCGAGUCGAGCUCUGUGCGAACAGCAGCCUGGAGCCUGCUUCAGAUUCUGUGUCUCCCUCUCUCUGCCCUUCCCCCGCUCACGCUCUUUCUCUCGCUCUCAAAAAUAAAUAAACAUUAAGAUAAAUUAAAAUAAAAUAAAAAUAAAUAAAAGUCAAUCUUAAUUUUCUGAUCAGCCCUAGUGAAAUAAUCUGCAUGAUAAAAGCCCUGCCCAUCCCUUCCCCCCAGAAGGAAGUCCUAGCCUGAAACAAUCCUUUCUAUUCUUUUUCCAAUAACUUCUUAACCCCACCCUCCUUCCUAUAAAAACCUAUUUUGUACGACUCCUCGGAACAUCUCUCUACUUGCUAGAGGAGAUGCUGACCUAUUCAGGAAUCUCUUAAUAAAGCCAAUUAGAC